rnacentral:rRNA from 1 species
UACGAAGGGGGCUAGCGUUGUUCGGAAUCACUGGGCGUAAAGCGCACGUAGGCGGAUCUUUAAGUCAGGGGUGAAAUCCCGAGGCUCAACCUCGGAACUGCCUUUGAUACUGGGGAUCUCGAGUCCGGGAGAGGUGAGUGGAACUGCGAGUGUAGAGGUGAAAUUCGUAGAUAUUCGCAAGAACACCAGUGGCGAAGGCGGCUUACUGGUCCGGUUCUGACGCUGAGGCGCGAAAGCGUGGGGAGCAAACAGG